GAUGAACGCUGGCGGCGUGCCUAAUACAUGCAAGUCGAGCGAACGGACGAGAAGCUUGCUUUUCUGAUGUUAGCGGCGGACGGGUGAGUAACACGUGGAUAACCUACCUAUAAGACUGGGAUAACUUCGGGAAACCGGAGCUAAUACCGGAUAAUAUUUUGAACCGCAUGGUUCAAAAGUGAAAGACGGUCUUGCUGUCACUUAUAGAUGGAUCCGCGCUGCAUUAGCUAGUUGGUAAGGUAACGGCUUACCAAGGCAAGGAUGCGUAGCCGACCUGGGAGGGUGAUCGGCCACACUGGAACUGGAACGCGGUCCAGACUCCUACGGGAGGCAGCAGUAGGGAAUCUUCCGCAAUGGGCGAAAGCCUGACGGAGCAACGCCGCGUGAGUGAUGAAGGUCUUCGGAUCGUAAAACUCUGUUAUUAGGGAAGAACAUAUGUGUAAGUAACUGUGCACAUCUUGACGGUACCUAAUCAGAAAGCCACGGCUAACUACGUG
rnacentral:rRNA from 1 species